rnacentral:rRNA from 1 species
UACAGAGGAUGCAAGCGUUAUCCGGAAUUAUUGGGCGUAAAGCGUCUGUAGGUGGCUCUUUAAGUCCGCCGUCAAAUCCCAGGGCUCAACUCUGGACAGGCGGUGGAAACUACCAAGCUGGAGUACGGUAGGGGAAGAGGGAAUUUCCGGUGGAGCGGUGAAAUGCGUAGAGAUCGGGAAGAACACCAACGGCGAAAGCACUCUGCUGGGCCGACACUGACACUGAGAGACGAAAGCUAGGGGAGCGAAUGGG